AUCUGUGUUUGUAUGUGCCAGUGUGUGUAUCUGUGUGUCAGUGUGUAUCUCUGUGUGUAUAUGUAUGUGACACACAGAUACACACACUGGUACAUAGUGGCACACAGAUACACACACUGACACAGAUACACACACC